ACGGAAGGCAGCAGUGGGGAAUAUUGCACAAUGGGGGAAACCCUGAUGCAGCGACGCCGCGUGAGUGAAGAAGUAUUUCGGUAUGUAAAGCUCUAUCAGCAGGAAAGAUAAUGACGGUACCAGCAGAAUAAGCCCCGGCUAACUACGUGCCAGCAGCCGCGGUAAUACGUAGGGGGCAAGCGUUAUCCGGAUUUACUGGGUGUAAAGGGAGCGUAGACGGUAAAGCAAGUCUGAAGUGAAAUCAUAGGGCUCAACCCUGUAAUUGCUUUGGAAACUGUUUAACUGGAGUACCGGAGGGGCAGGCGGAAUUCCUGGUGUAGCGGUGAAAUGCGUAGAUAUCAGGAUGAACACCGGUGGCGAAGGCGGCCUGCUGGACGGUAACUGACGUUGAGGCUCGAAAGCGUGGGGAGCAAACAGGAUUAGAUACCCUGGUA
rnacentral:rRNA from 1 species